AAAUAAUGUGUUUAACUCAUUCCUAACAAUAAUGAUCAGCUGUGCCUUUUAGGAUGAAGAGUUCCUUCGCCCACCCCCAUGGUUUCAGUUAUCCAAAAAGUCUGGCCUGACUGUUAAGUGUGGAAGUAGUCACGUCUCUUGGGACUGUAGAAUAAGUGCACUUUUAGGUUCCCAGGGGUUGGCUCUUAAGUAUUUCCAACGGUUUUCCUUGUUCCUCCUAGUUUUGGUUGAUCGUGCCACACCACUGGAUUAAGCCUUUGUUUUUACAAAGCCCCGGGAUGUCUCCCGUAAGCAUUCCUGCCGCCGGCCUCUGCCUCCUCGUUGUCACAGGGUUUCGGAAGGCCAGAGCCCGGCUGCAGCCUGGUGGGCGCGUCUAGGGAGGCCUUCCCUUCGCGGACGGGCUUCUGUUCAGCCUUGGAUUUCGCGGCGGAGGCGCAGACCCGCGGGGAGCGUCCUCGACGUCCCCUCAAGAGGUCCCGCUGAGGGGGAGCGGCCCCGGAGGAGGCGGGCGGAGGGAGCAGGCGGCCGCCGCGGCCGCUCCUCCCGCCGCCCCGCUCGCCGUCGCCCCCGCCCGCCGUUCCCACAAUCCCCGGCGGCGCCGCCGCUCCCGGAGCCUGGCGAGCCCGGCGGCGGAGCCCGCGGUCGGCGGCCCCUCGGGAGCCGUCCGGAAAGCCUCGGACGCCUGGCGUCCCGCCAGCCCCCGCCCCCCGCUCCCGAGCGCCGUGGUUCGGCCAUUUCCGGCCCGGCGCCCUUCGGCAAGUUCCGCAGUCGCUUGUCGGAAAUGGCUGCCCGCCGGCAGGGGGAGCGGAGGAUCCGGCGCGGCCUGGAAGGCGGGCGGCAGGCGGCGAGAGCGGCGCUCGGGGAGCCGGGGUUCGCGCAGGCGGCGGCGGCUCGUCCCUGAGCUGGAAGCUGGUAGGACUGCUGGCGGCGGCGGGAGCCCCGAGCAGCCGGCGCGGCGGCCCGGAAGGCGCUCGCGUUGUAGGUCCUUCUGGUUGUGCUGUGUGGGAUGCUGUCUCAGCAUGGCCUGAUGAGCCUGCUAGGUCCACGCCCAGGAUCCGAACCAGCAAAACCUGGGGCCACCAGAAGGGAGCUUGGGAACUUAACCACCAGCCACGGGCUGGCCCCUGGAUACAGG
rnacentral:lncRNA from 1 species